GUGUCAGCAGCCGCGGUAAUACGAAGGUCCCGAGCGUUGUUCGGAAUCACUGGGCGUAAAGGGAGCGUAGGCGGUAUGGUAAGUCAGAUGUGAAAUCCCGGGGCUCAACCCCGGCACUGCAUCCGAUACUGCCGUGCUUAGAGGGUUGGAGAGGUAGCUGGAAUUCACGGUGUAGCAGUGAAAUGCGUAGAUAUCGUGAGGAACACUUGCUGCGAAAGCGAGCUACUGGACAACUCCUGACGCUGAGGCUCGAAGGCCAGGGGAGCGAAAGGGAUUAGAAACCCUAGUAGUCC
rnacentral:rRNA from 1 species